GCCGGCGUGGUAUGGUGUUUUUAGCGUCGGACGACAACUCCGGAGGCCAGGGUUCGAAUCCCAGCUCGGUCA